AGGUUCAGGAGUCCAAAAGGAAGAAAAAUCACUUAGAUUAGUUUGAAGCCCUUUGGAAAUGCAGUCGUCACUCAGCCUAGCAUGUGAUAAAGGGAAUGCCCGGGAAUUAUUUUUGGCCAUUGAAAUGUGUACGUAGCUGGCACCUUGAACAUGAAGAUAUAUUGAAAACUAAUGUGUCCAAUGCAUCCUCUCUGGAAAGCUUGCUUGGUCUAAAUAUCGAUUGGUUUUACUACCAGCCAAGGAAAGGCAGCCACUCUCCAAUAACGCAGAAACUGUGCUUGUUUUAAGCAUCAAUUGUGACAACAUCAUUAAAAAAUCAGCAUCAUUACAACCACAAGGACCUUUUCCAUGUGAGAGCACAUAAAACAUUAGUAGUGAACUUCCGUCUGCUGACAUAUGUGUUGCACCCUCCAAAUGAACUGGAAAGAAGGUAGAAAGUAGAGGUUUAUCAGGCAUCAAGUUCAGCCAUCCAAAUAUCACAAUCCUCAUUUUUGUUGCUAGCUCUAUGCAAUUUUGAAAUGGUUUGUAAAUUUAAUUGUCGGUGUAUGGAGUGUAUGUAGGCCAUGCACAAGCAACAGCGCUGCUAGGAUUAAGCAGCUCUCUUUUUUUAGGCAAGUAGGUCUAACCUGCUUUGUUGGAAGCAAAAUGAACCUUUUUAAGUUCGGUUAUUGACACCAUCAAUGAACAAAGCAACGAAGCUGAUGUUGCAGCAGCAGAUGACUGAGCCAAGAUGCAACUGACUCCCCAUAGGCAGUAAUGAGCAUGACUUGUGAAGUAGUAAACUACUUGCCAAUGAAAAGCAAAAAUUGUUAUAAGUGAGACUUUACAGCUAGAAAAUAUUUUAGAAAAAUUAAUAGCAGUGAUCAUAUACCAAUGCAUAGUUAAUUACAUCAAUGUUGAGGCUCUAGCAAAAGGCUACCACUGCUUUUCCAGGAUCACUGGAUGGCAGCUGUACCUAUGAAUUGAAGCAGUGUGUCCAUAAAUUAAUGCCUAUUUAGCUUGGCGUAUUUGAUUUUUUUUUUCCUUAUUUGCUUUCCCGUAAACUCCUGUUUCAAAGAUUUAUGUCAGAGAGGCAAUUUUCUUCCCAGGAGAGUUAUCUUUUAGUCACAAAAGUAGGUCCCCAGAAUCACAGCUUAUUGCAACAGCACAGAAGAAUAAGUCAAGAGUUAUCACCAAGUACAGCCAAUUCAAAAAAAAUCAUUUUUUUCAUUUUGGAUUAUUUUUCAGUUCCAAAUCCAGUUUCUGAGUUAUGAUUAUGAGGCUCUCAGCUCUAGGCUCAGUUCUAACUAAAAUUUUCAAGAAAUCACAGGACUAUUGUGUUGAAAAGCCCUCUCAGAAAUUAAAGGAAAACAUACAGCUGUUGAGCUGAUGGCUUGGAAAUGCACCACGUAGCCCUCAUCGCAUGAAAUGUUAGCUCAAACUCACAAGUGUGCUCAAAUUACUCUUUGUCUGCUGGUGACCUCUGUCUUUUGAGCUUAACUCACCGUUGCAGAAGCCCAAAGGAGUAAUGUAUGGAGUCUGAAUGCUAGUGUACCUCUCUACCCUAUGUCAAGUAGAACAGUGUUCACCUUUACUACCUUAUGAAGGUGAAAACUAAGGACUUCUGGAAAAGUGAAAGUAUUCAAGCAGGAUUUUGAACAUUACCAGAAAGAGCUACUGGGAAAAAUUUGAUAGGUGCCGUGUGUAUGAACAAGAACAAGAGACUGGGAGCAUUAAUAAAAGCAUCAAUUAACAAGAACAUGCAAAGUGAGAGAUGUCAUCAGGCACCAAAUCAGUUAAUUAAGUCCAGAAAUGAAACUUAGAUAUUUCUUCUGUGGAUUACCUGCAUUCCUUUAUUCAUUGUUUUGAGCAGACUACAAGGUCUUCAUUCUACGUUGGAACUCCGUGGGGACAAUUCUUACGGGUUUUGACAGUGAGCAUCUAAACAGCACCACAGCACUGUGGGGCAUUCGAGGUGAAGUCAUUCUUAUUGAAGGAGCCAGCAUAAUUUCUCUGCACCAUUUAAAUCCAAACAAAUCCUAUUUUAAGCACUUUGGAAUGACUUGAGUGAUGCAAAGGCCUUUUCUUGGGCUUUCUGCCCGGGAGUGAAUUUCACCCUCAGUGAAUUAUUAUUAUUAUUAUUGGACUCUACUUAUGAAAACAUAAAGCAAAUAACCCAUGCAGAUAAUAUUAAAGCAGUGGGAAAUGGAAAUUCCUAGUAGACUGAAGAAUUAAGUAGGAAUU
rnacentral:lncRNA from 7 species